GUGUAGAGUUUUGCAAAAAUAGCCAAUAGUUACAAAAAAUGUGCUUAAACAAUCAGAAAAAACUGUAAUAAAACUGUCUCAGUUCCCCAGUGCCGAGAUGGUGUUGCCAGGUCUGCUGUUCAUUUCGUGCAGUUCUCUGAGUGGCGUGUUUAUUUGGCAGGAUCUGGCAACACAUUAUUUCUCUCGCGAGAUUUGGCAGCGGCGGCGACUUGAAGCGCGGAAAUGUGAAGCUGCAGCGCGCCGUUCCAUCUCAUAACGUGUGGAACCAGAAACACUGAGAACGUUACAGAGAAGCGCACCAGGAGAGGAAAACACCUGAAGACCCUGCGAUGAGCCGGCCGCUCCGCCGGAAUAAAAAGCGACCCCAGAGUUCCCAAGAAACCCCAAACCUCGGCCCCACCAGGUCCAAACGAAGCACGAAGACAACAAGAUGGCCGCUAGAAGAGGAAGAUGAAGAGGAGGAGGCUGGAAUGAAGGAAGACCUUGAUGAAUGUGCAGAAUGGAGUCCUGUGAGUUUGCAGAUCUGUCUGCUUGCAUUCUGACAACCUUCAAGUUCCAGACAGAACAGUUGAGUUCUCUUGUGCAGGCUCUAUCA
ensembl:lncRNA